rnacentral:rRNA from 1 species
GGGUUGUGAGGUUAAGCGACUAAGCGUACACGGUGGAUGCCCUGGCAGUCAGAGGCGAUGAAGGNNNCCGAAUGGGGAAACCCAGUGUGAUUCGUCACACUAUCAUUAACUGAAUCCAUAGGUUAAUGAGGCGAACCGGGGGAACUGAAACAUCUAAGUACCCCGAGGAAAAGAAAUCAACCGAGAUUCCCCCAGUAGCGGCGAGCGAACGGGGAGGAGCCCAGAGCCUGAAUCAGCAUGUGUGUUAGUGGAAGCGUCUGGAAAGGCGCGCGAUACAGGGUGACAGCCCCGUACACAAAAGCGCAUGUGCUGUGAGCUCGAUGAGUAGGGCGGGACACGUGGUAUCCUGUCUGAAUAUGGGGGGACCAUCCUCCAAGGCUAAAUACUCCUGACUGACCGAUAGUGAACCAGUACCGUGAGGGAAAGGCGAAAAGAACCCCGGCGAGGGGAGUGAAAAAGAACCUGAAACCGUGUACGUACAAGCAGUGGGAGCNNNNNNNNNNNNNNNNNNNNNNNNNNNNNNNNNNNNNNNNNNNNNNNNNNNNNGGGCGUUAAGUUGCAGGGUAUAGACCCGAAACCCGGUGAUCUAGCCAUGGGCAGGUUGAAGGUUGGGUAACACUAACUGGAGGACCGAACCGACUAAUGUUGAAAAAUUAGCGGAUGACCUGUGGCUGGGGGUGAAAGGCCAAUCAAACCGGGAGAUAGCUGGUUCUCCCCGAAAGCUAUUUAGGUAGCGCCUCGUGAAUUCAUCUCCGGGGGUAGAGCACUGUUUCGGCUAGGGGGCCAUCCCGGCUUACCAACCCGAUGCAAACUGCGAAUACCGGAGAAUGUUAUCACGGGAGACACACGGCGGGUGCUAACGUCCGUCGUGAAGAGGGAAACAACCCAGACCGCCAGCUAAGGUCCCAAAGUCAUGGUUAAGUGGGAAACGAUGUGGGAAGGCCCAGACAGCCAGGAUGUUGGCUUAGAAGCAGCCAUCAUUUAAAGAAAGCGUAAUAGCUCACUGGUCGAGUCGGCCUGCGCGGAAGAUGUAACGGGGCUAAACCAUGCACCGAAGCUGCGGCAGCGANNNNNNNNNNNNNNNNNNNNNNNNNNNNNNNNNNNUGCUGGAGGUAUCAGAAGUGCGAAUGCUGACAUAAGUAACGAUAAAGCGGGUGAAAAGCCCGCUCGCCGGAAGACCAAGGGUUCCUGUCCAACGUUAAUCGGGGCAGGGUGAGUCGACCCCUAAGGCGAGGCCGAAAGGCGUAGUCGAUGGGAAACGGGUUAAUAUUCCCGUACUUGGUGUUACUGCGAAGGGGGGACGGAGAAGGCUAUGUUGGCCGGGCGACGGUUGUCCCGGUUUAAGCGUGUAGGUGUGUGUUCCAGGUAAAUCCGGUUCACUUUAACACUGAGGCGUGACGACGAGGCACUACGGUGCUGAAGCAACAAAUGCCCUGCUUCCAGGAAAAGCCUCUAAGCAUCAGGUAACACGAAAUCGUACCCCAAACCGACACAGGUGGUCAGGUAGAGAAUACCAAGGCGCUUGAGAGAACUCGGGUGAAGGAACUAGGCAAAAUGGUGCCGUAACUUCGGGAGAAGGCACGCUGACACGUAGGUGAAGUGAUUUACUCAUGGAGCUGAAGUCAGUCGAAGAUACCAGCUGGCUGCAACUGUUUAUUAAAAACACAGCACUGUGCAAACACGAAAGUGGACGUAUACGGUGUGACGCCUGCCCGGUGCCGGAAGGUUAAUUGAUGGGGUCAGCGCAAGCGAAGCUCCUGAUCGAAGCCCCGGUAAACGGCGGCCGUAACUAUAACGGUCCUAAGGUAGCGAAAUUCCUUGUCGGGUAAGUUCCGACCUGCACGAAUGGCGUAAUGAUGGCCAGGCUGUCUCCACCCGAGACUCAGUGAAAUUGAACUCGCUGUGAAGAUGCAGUGUACCCGCGGCAAGACGGAAAGACCCCGUGAACCUUUACUAUAGCUUGACACUGAACAUUGAGCCUUGAUGUGUAGGAUAGGUGGGAGGCUUUGAAGUGUGGACGCCAGUCUGCAUGGAGCCGACCUUGAAAUACCACCCUUUAAUGUUUGAUGUUCUAACGUGGACCCGUAAUCCGGGUUGCGGACAGUGUCUGGUGGGUAGUUUGACUGGGGCGGUCUCCUCCUAAAGAGUAACGGAGGAGCACGAAGGUUGGCUAAUCCUGGUCGGACAUCAGGAGGUUAGUGCAAUGGCAUAAGCCAGCUUGACUGCGAGCGUGACGGCGCGAGCAGGUGCGAAAGCAGGUCAUAGUGAUCCGGUGGUUCUGAAUGGAAGGGCCAUCGCUCAACGGAUAAAAGGUACUCCGGGGAUAACAGGCUGAUACCGCCCAAGAGUUCAUAUCGACGGCGGUGUUUGGCACCUCGAUGUCGGCUCAUCACAUCCUGGGGCUGAAGUAGGUCCCAAGGGUAUGGCUGUUCGCCAUUUAAAGUGGUACGCGAGCUGGGUUUAGAACGUCGUGAGACAGUUCGGUCCCUAUCUGCCGUGGGCGCUGGAGAACUGAGGGGGGCUGCUCCUAGUACGAGAGGACCGGAGUGGACGCAUCACUGGUGUUCGGGUUGUCAUGCCAAUGGCACUGCCCGGUAGCUAAAUGCGGAAGAGAUAAGUGCUGAAAGCAUCUAAGCACGAAACUUGCCCCGAGAUGAGUUCUCCCUG